UCUAUUCUGCGCUUGUACUUCUGCCGACCUCCACGUACUCUGUCAAGACGCACUCCUGUGGGGAAAGACAGGCACUUCCUUACUGUUGAGAAUCUCCAAUGAAAGCUACCUCUUUGUGACAAAUCUAUUACAAAUGGGUGUUUGUAAUGUGUAGAACAUCAGAUGUUCAAACAAGCUGUGCUUUUUCAUCUAUUACAUGUACUUGAUAGCACCAUCUACUCUGCUACCUAGAAGUUUCAGGGAACCUUUGAUGGCGUCUACCUGGGAGACUGCGCUUCGUCCUUGACACAGCUUCUGCUGCAGAGUCCUGACCUCCAGGU